ACAUAGCGACUAUCGUGGCAUAUCAAUAAGCGGAGGAAAAGAAACUAACUAGGAUUCCCUUAGUAACGGCGAGUGAAGCGGGAAGAGCUCAAAUUUGAAAUCUUCAAGGUUCUACCUUGACGAAUUGUAGUUUAUAGAAGUGUUUUCUGUUAGUGGAGUGGCAAAAGUUCUUUGGAAUAGGACAUCAUAGAGGGUGAGAAUCCCGUAUUUGGUCAUUCCUCCUAGCGUUGUGAUACACUUUCAACGAGUCGGAUUGUUUGGGAAUGCAGUCCAAAAUGGGUGGUAAAUUUCAUCUAAAGCUAAAUAUUGGCGAGAGACUGAUAGCGAACAAGUACCGUGAGGGAAAGAUGAAAAGAACUUUGAAAAGAGAGCUAAACAGUACGUGAAAUUGUCAAAAGGGAAGCGUUUGACACCAGUGUUGUUUUUCCGAAAAUCAAUUACGAAUGUUUUGUUUUUGAGGAGUUAUGACUUCAUCGGCUUGCUCCUUUCUUUACGAAACUUUCUUAAUGCACUUUUCGGUUAACAAGUCAACAUCAAUUUCUUUUGUUGUAAAAGGGUAUGAGGAAGGUGGCUUUCGUUUCGGAGAAAGUGUUUAUAGCCUUGUGCCUCUGCAAUCGGAGAGAUUGAGGUCUGCAGCGUAGAUCCUUCGGGGUUAGAUACAUUUGUGCUAAGUUAUAGCUUUUCAUAGACAACUUGUUGACUAUGUUUAGUCUUGUAGCUUACUCGCUUAUGCUAUUUUACCUACGCUUAGGAUGUUGAUAGUCACAGCGUGUAC
rnacentral:rRNA from 1 species